ensembl:snoRNA
CAUGUGGUUAAUGAUGUACACUUUUUUCCCCGUCUUAUCGACCAUGGUGAGAAAGCUUAAAACUAAGCCAGUUGUAUCUGAAACCACAAA